rfam:Salmo salar isolate Sally breed double haploid chromosome ssa09, whole genome shotgun sequence.
UGUAUUCACUACUGUCAGUUGCUCUGGAUAAGAGCGUCUGCUAAAUGACAAAUG